GAUGAAGAACGUAGCGAAAUGCGAUAAGUAAUGUGAAUUGCAGAAUUCAGUGAAUCAUCGAAUCUUUGAACGCACAUUGCGCCCCUUGGUAUUCCGAGGGGCAUGCCUGUUCGAGCGUCAUUACACCACUCAAGCUAUGCUUGGUAUUGGGCGUCGUCCUUAGUUGGGCGCGCCUUAAAGACCUCGGCGAGGCCACUCCGGCUUUAGGCGUAGUAGAAUUCAUUCGAACGUCUGUCAAAGGAGAGGAACUCUGCCGACUGAAACCUUUAUUUUUCUAGGUUGACCUCGGAUCAGGUAGGGAUACCCGCUGAACUUAAGCAUAUCAAUAAGCGGAGGA
rnacentral:misc_RNA from 1 species